rnacentral:rRNA from 1 species
GUCGAACGGCAGCACGGACUUCGGUCUGGUGGCGAGUGGCGAACGGGUGAGUAAUACAUCGGAACGUGUCCUGGAGUGGGGGAUAGCCCGGCGAAAGCCGGAUUAAUACCGCAUACGCUCUGAGGAGGAAAGCGGGGGAUCGCAAGACCUCGCGCUCAAGGGGCGGCCGAUGGCAGAUUAGCUAGUUGGUGGGGUAAAGGCCUACCAAGGCGACGAUCUGUAGCUGGUCUGAGAGGACGACCAGCCACACUGGGACUGAGACACGGCCCAGACUCCUACGGGAGGCAGCAGUGGGGAAUUUUGGACAAUGGGCGCAAGCCUGAUCCAGCAAUGCCGCGUGUGUGAAGAAGGCCUUCGGGUUGUAAAGCACUUUUGUCCGGAAAGAAAACGCCGUGGUUAAUACCCGUGGCGGAUGACGGUACCGGAAGAAUAAGCACCGGCUAACUACGUGCCAGCAGCCGCGGUAAUACGUAGGGUGCAAGCGUUAAUCGGAAUUACUGGGCGUAAAGCGUGCGCAGGCGGUUCGCUAAGACAGAUGUGAAAUCCCCGGGCUUAACCUGGGAACUGCAUUUGUGACUGGCGGGCUAGAGUAUGGCAGAGGGGGGUAGAAUUCCACGUGUAGCAGUGAAAUGCGUAGAGAUGUGGAGGAAUACCGAUGGCGAAGGCAGCCCCCUGGGCCAAUACUGACGCUCAUGCACGAAAGCGUGGGGAGCAAACAGGAUUAGAUACCCUGGUAGUCCACGCCCUAAACGAUGUCAACUGGUUGUCGGGUCUUCAUUGACUUGGUAACGUAGCUAACGCGUGAAGUUGACCGCCUGGGGAGUACGGUCGCAAGAUUAAAACUCAAAGGAAUUGACGGGGACCCGCACAAGCGGUGGAUGAUGUGGAUUAAUUCGAUGCAACGCGAAAAACCUUACCUACCCUUGACAUGUAUGGAACCCUGCUGAGAGGUGGGGGUGCCCGAAAAGGGAGCCAUAACACAGGUGCUGCAUGGCUGUCGUCAGCU